UACGGAGGGUGCAAGCGUUGUCCGGAUUUAUUGGGUUUAAAGGGUGCGUAGGUGGCUUGUUAAGUCAGUGGUGAAAGACAGCCGCUCAACGGUUGAGGUGCCAUUGAUACUGACAGGCUUGAAGCAGACAGAGGCUGCCGGAAUGGAUGGUGUAGCGGUGAAAUGCAUAGAUAUCAUCCAGAACACCGAUUGCGAAGGCAGGUGGCUAUGUCUGACUUGACACUGAGGCACGAAAGCAUGGGGAGCAAACAGGAUUAGAAACCCCAGUAGUCC
rnacentral:rRNA from 1 species